rnacentral:rRNA from 1 species
CGACCGGCGCACGGGUGCGUAACGCGUAUAGAACUUACCUUUUACAGAGGGAUAGCCUUUAGAAAUGAAGAUUAAUACCUCAUAGUAUUGAGAUUUGGCAUCAAAUUUUAAUUAAAGAUUUAUCGGUAAAAGAUGGCUAUGCGUCCUAUUAGCUAGAUGGUGAGGUAACGGCUCACCAUGGCAACGAUAGGUAGGGGUCCUGAGAGGGAGAUCCCCCACACUGGUACUGAGACACGGACCAGACUCCUACGGGAGGCAGCAGUGAGGAAUAUUGGGCAAUGGAGGCAACUCUGACCCAGCCAUGCCGCGUGCAGGAAUAAGGUCCUAUGGAUUGUAAACUGCUUUUAUACAGGAAGAAACCUCUCUACGUGUAGAGACUUGACGGUACUGUAUGAAUAAGCACCGGCUAACUCCGUGCCAGCAGCCGCGGUAAUACGGAGGGUGCAAGCGUUAUCCGGAAUCAUUGGGUUUAAAGGGUCCGCAGGCGGUCAAUUAAGUCAGAGGUGAAAUACCGUCGCUUAACGACGGAACUGCCUUUGAUACUGGUUGACUUGAGUCAUAUGGAAGUAGAUAGAAUGUGUAGUGUAGCGGUGAAAUGCUUAGAUAUUACACAGAAUACCGAUUGCGAGGCAGUCUACUACGUAUGUA